UACGUAGGGUGCAAGCGUUAAUCGGAAUUACUGGGCGUAAAGCGUGCGCAGGCGGUUCUCCAAGUCCGUUGUGAAAGCCCCGGGCUCAACCUGGGAAUGGCAGUGGAAACUAGGGGACUGGAAUCUGGCAGAGGGGGGUGGAAUGCCGCGUGUAGCAGUGAAAUGCGUAGAGAUGCGGCGGAACACCGAUGGCGAAGGCAGCCCCCUGGGCUGAGAUUGACGCUCAGGCACGAAAGCGUGGGGAGCAAACGGG
rnacentral:rRNA from 1 species